rnacentral:rRNA from 1 species
AUGCACUGCAAUCUCAGCACGAGUUCAAUAUCCCCUAUUUGUUGUGAUGAGGAUCAGGUUGCAGAUUAUGGGAGCACCGUUAGUUGCAAAAUUGCUCCCCUUCCAAUUAAAUAUUUAGGGCUGCCUCUCAGUCGAAAUAAGCUUCACACAGAGGAUUUCCAGGGCUUGAUUGAUAAAUUGAGGAAUCAAUUAGGGACAUGGCGCACGGGUUUUCUAUACCAGAGUGGUCGUUUAGUUCUUGUCAAAGCGGUGUUAUCGGCCAUUCCCAUUUUUCACUUAAUGUCCCUUGAUCCUCCCCCAUGGGUGUUCAAGGCCAUCGACAAAAUCCGAAGAGCUUUCCUUUGGAAGGGCGCUGAUGUGGUAAAUGGCGGCCACUGCUUGGUAAGUUGGAAACAAACUUGUCGACCAAAAGCUAGCGGGGGACUAGACAUUUUGGACCAAGAAAUCAUGAAUGUUGUGUUGGGAAUGCAGUAA